rnacentral:tRNA from 1 species
ACUUAUAUAGCUUAUAAAGAGCAUGAUAUUGAAGAUAUCAAGGUAAUAAUUAUUAUUUUUAAGUA